AUUGAACGCUGGCGGCAGUCCUAACACAUGCACGUCGAGCGGAGCGGCGGCCGGGUGAGUAAUGCCUAGGAAUCUGCCUGGUAUUUGGGGAUCACGUCCGGAAACGGUCGCUAAUACCGCAUACUAUCAGAUGAGCCUAGGUCGGUUUAGCUAGUUGGUGGGGUAAAGGCCUACCAGGGCGACGAUCCCUAGCUGGUCUGAGAGGAUGACCAGCCACACUGGAACUGAGCCACGGGCCAGACUCCUACGCGAGGCAGCAGUGGGGAAUAUUGCACAAUGGGCGCAAGCCUGAUGCAGCCAUGCCGCGUGUAUGAAGAAGGCCUUCGGGUUGUAAAGUACUUUCAGCGGGGAGGCGUUACCCGCAGAAGAAGCACCGGCUAACUCCGUGCCAGCAGCCGCGGUAAUAC
rnacentral:rRNA from 1 species